rnacentral:rRNA from 1 species
CUACGUGCCAGCAGCCGCGGUAAUACGGAAGGUUCGGGCGUUAUCCGGAUUUAUUGGGUUUAAAGGGAGCGUAGGCUGGAGAUUAAGUGUGUUGUGAAAUGUAGACGCUCAACGUCUGAAUUGCAGCGCAUACUGGUUUCCUUGAGUACGCACAACGUUGGCGGAAUUCGUCGUGUAGCGGUGAAAUGCUUAGAUAUGACGAAGAACUCCGAUUGCGAAGGCAGCUGACGGGAGCGCAACUGACGCUUAAGCUCGAAGGUGCGGGUACCAAACAGGAUUGGAUACCCUGGUAGUCCGCACAGUAAACGAUGGAUGCCCGCUGUUGGUACCUGGUAUCAGCGGCUAAGCGAAAGCAUUAAGCAUCCCACCUGGGGAGUACGCCGGCAACGGUGAAACUCAAAGGAAUUGACGGGGGCCCGCACAAGCGGAGGAACAUGUGGUUUAAUUCGAUGAUACGCGAGGAACCUUACCCGGGCUUGAA